GCCUAAAGAGAAGCUUGCGGCUGAUUAGCUUGUUGGUGAGGUAAUGGCUCACCAAGGCGACGAUCAGUAUCUGGUUUGAGAGGACGAUCAGACACACUGGAACUGAGACACGGUCCAGACUCCUACGGGAGGCAGCAGUGGGGAAUUUUCCGCAAUGGGCGAAAGCCUGACGGAGCAAUACCGCGUGAGGGAUGAAGGCCUAUGGGUUGUAAACCUCUUUUUUCAGGGAGGAACAAAAUGACGUGUACCUGAAGAAUAAGCAUCGGCUAACUCCGUGCCAGCAGCCGCGGUAAGACGGGGGAUGCAAGUGUUAUCCGGAAUCACUGGGCGUAAAGCGUCUGUAGGUGGUUAAGUAAGUCAACUGUUAAAUCUUGAGGCUUAACCUCAAAAUCGCAGUCGAAACUGCUUGACUAGAGUAUAGUAGGGGUAAAGGGAAUUUCCAGUGGAGCGGUGAAAUGCGUAGAUAUUG
rnacentral:rRNA from 1 species